AGAGUUUGAUCCUGGCUCAGAUUGAACGCUGGCGGCAUGCCUUACACAUGCAAGUCGAACGGUAACGCGGGGGCAACCCUGGCGACGAGUGGCGAACGGGUGAGUAAUACAUCGGAACAUAUCCAGUAGCGGGGGAUAACCUAUCGAAAGAUGGACUAAUACCGCAUACGAUCUACGGAUGAAAGCAGGGGACCGCAAGGCCUUGCACUAUUGGAGUGGCCGAUGUCGGAUUAGCUAGUUGGUGAGGUAAAGGCUUACCUAGGCGACGAUCCGUAGCUGGUCUGAGAGGACGAUCAGCCACACUGGAACUGAGACACGGUCCAGACUCCUACGGAGGCAGCAGUGGGGAAUUUUGGACAAUGGGCGCAAGCCUGAUCCAGCCAUGCCGCGUGAGUGAAGAAGGCCUUCGGGUUGUAAAGCUCUUUCGGUGAAGACGAAACGGUUAGCGCUAAUAACGCUGACUAAUGACGGUACUCACAGAAGAAGCACCGGCUAACUACGUGCCAGCAGCCGCGGUAAUACGUAGGGUGCAGGCGUUAAUCGGAAUUACUGGGCGUAAAGCGUGCGCGGGCGGUUUGCUAAGACAGGUGUGAAAUCCCCGAGCUUAACUUGGGAAUUGCGCUUGUAACUGGCAAGCUAGAGUGUGGCAGAGGGGGGUGGAAUUCCACGUGUAGCAGUGAAAUGCGUAGAUAUGUGGAGGAACACCGAUGGCGAAGGCAGCCCCCUGGGUUAACACUGACGCUCAUGCACGAAAGCGUGGGGAGCAAACAGGAUUAGAUACCCUGGUAGUCCACGCCCUAAACUAUGUCAACUAGUUGUCGGGGAAGAAAUUCCUUGGUAACGAAGCUAACGCGUGAAGUUGACCGCCUGGGGAGUACGGCCGCAAGGUUAAAACUCAAAGGAAUUGACGGGGACCCGCACAAGCGGUGGAUUAUGUGGAUUAAUUCGAUGCAACGCGAAAAACCUUACCUACCCUUGACAUGCUAGGAAGCCCGCAGAGAUGUGGGUGUGCCCGAAAGGGAACCUAGACACAGGUGCUGCAUGGCUGUCGUCAGCUCGUGUCGUGAGAUGUUGGGUUAAGUCCCGCAACGAGCGCAACCCUUGCCAUUAGUUGCUACAUUUAGUUGGGCACUCUAAUGGGACCGCCGGUGACAAACCGGAGGAAGGUGGGGAUGACGUCAAGUCCUCAUGGCCCUUAUGGGUAGGGCUUCACACGUAAUACAAUGGUCGGUACAGAGGGCUGCCAACCCGCAAGGGGGAGCUAAUCCCAGAAAGCCGAUCGUAGUCCGGAUUGUAGUCUGCAACUCGACUGCAUGAAGCCGGAAUCGCUAGUAAUCGCGGAUCAGCAUGUCGCGGUGAAUACGUUCCCGGGUCUUGUACACACCGCCCGUCACACCAUGGGAGUGGGUUCCACCAGAAGUAGUUAGCCUAACCGCAAGGAGGGCGAUUACCACGGUGAGAUUCAUGACUGGGGUGAAGUCGUAACAAGGUA
rnacentral:rRNA from 1 species